rnacentral:lncRNA from 10 species
UUUCUCUCCCAGUGCUCAAAGGCUCCUGACUGUGGAGAGCUAAAGCUGCCAGGAGCUGCCUGUGCUUGCCAAGUGGUUGCAGAUGUUUCCUCCCUACUGCUCUGACUUUGCCAGGGUUUGUUGGUGUCUUGGGGUAAGAGGCUCUUCAGGCUGAAAGGUGAGCGGAGGCUGUCAGAAGCUGGGGAGAUCUGGGUCACCCAAAGCAAACAUGAGCCCUUACUCAGAUCUCACAGCAAAGACCACCCCUGGAUCUGUCCAUGCAGAGGCCCAGGUCUCUGGUGAGAAAGGCAGAGGGGAGGAUCAAGCAUGGAAACUGGAGGGGGAAAGAACAGAACUCACAGGGGUAGACCAUUGGCUCUAAGACACCCGCGCUUGGGCCUUAAUGUACAGCUCAGUUAAUCUUCACCUUUGCCCUGAGAGGUUAAAUUAUUAUCCCCAUUUUACAGGGGAGAAAACAAGCUGGGAGAGGAGGAAUGACUUGCUCAUGGUUGUGCAGCUAGUAGAAAAUUCUACCCUCUUGUGGUGGCACCAUUGUUUC